rnacentral:rRNA from 1 species
AUCUUCCACAAUGGACGAAAGUCUGAUGGAGCAACGCCGCGUGAGUGAAGAAGGUNUUNNGAUCGNANAGCUCUGUUGUGAGGNNNNNAUAAGUACAGGNGUCACUGUCUGUACCUUGACGGUACCUCACCAGAAAGCCACGGCUAACUACGUGCCAGCAGCCGCAGGAAUACGUAGGGCGCCAGGGUUGUCCGGAAUUUUUGGGCAUAAAGCGCGGGAAGGAGGUCCUUUAAGUUUGAUGUGAAAGCCCACGGCUCAACCGUGGAGGGUCAUUGGAAACUGGAGGACUUGAGUACAGAAGAGGAAAGCGGAAUUCCACGUGUAGCGGUGAAAUGCGUAGAGAUGUGGAGGAACACCAGUGGCGAAGGCGGCUUUCUGGUCUGUAACUGACGCUGAGGCGCGAAAGCGUGGGGAGCAAACA